AUACGGAGGAUGCAAGCGUUAUCCGGAUUUAUUGGGUUUAAAGGGUGCGUAGGCGGUUUGCUAAGCGGGAGGUGAAAUGCCGGCGCUCAACGUCGGAAGUGCCUCCCGAACUGGUGGACUUGAAUGACUCUGCCGUGGGAGGAAUGUGUAGUGUAGCGGUGAAAUGCUUAGAGAUUACACAGAACACCGAUUGCGAAGGCAUCUCACGAAGGAUUGAUUGACGCUGAGGCACGAAAGCGUGGGGAUCAAACAGGAUUAGAUACCCUGGUAGUCCACGCAGUAAACGAUGAUGGCUAACCGCUGGGCUUAUCAGUUCAGUGGCCAAGCGAAAGCGAUAAGCCAUCCACCUGGGGAGUACGACCGCAAGGUUGAAACUCAAAGGAAUUGACGGGG
rnacentral:rRNA from 1 species